GGCAGCAUGGAAACAUGCACCUUCAACAGUACACAUUCUGGGAGGCACACUAACAUGAAGGAGAAAUCACUGAUGAGCCCUGAUAUGAUCAUUCCAGCUUGCAUGAGUUUGUAAAUUUGUGGAUAAGAUAAAAAGAAGACCCAAUAAUACAAGGAUGGAGGGAGAGAUAGUAACUUGGUGGUAGAGCACAAGUUUCACAUGCAUAAAAAGGUCCAGUCCCUUGUGUGUCUAGUAUUUCCCACCUAUUCGUGACUGUAAUGAAUUAAGAUAAUCACAAACUUCUCCUCUUGAGCCCAUGUUCAACAAUCCAUCUUUUCACUCACCAGUUCAUACUGACCAUUGAAUACUUAAAAUUCCCAAAUACAACCAUGGGACCAUAUCUCAACCUGGUAACAAGAACCCAGCUGGCUACUCCUUUUGAAACAGAUACUAAUUAUGAUACUGCAGACAAAGAAGAGGCACAUAUCCUCUUUCUCCUUUCACUUGCCUUUCCUGAAGCAUUUUCUGUACUACACAUAAAAGCUGCUAUAGAUGAAUCCUGCUCAGUAGACUGCACUAUCCAACCGUUGAUAUUCUCCAGUCAUUUCACAAUGUAAAGAACGAGAAUGACCUCUUGGCAGUCUGCAUACUCUGUAAUAGGGAAUCUUGAGGUUGGAUUACUGCAAUGCACUCUGUGAGAGACUGCUCUUAACAUUGGUUCAGAAUCUGCAGCUGGCACAGAUGCAAUGGCUAGGUUACUCAGUGGGGUGACUUACCAUGAGCAUGUAACUGUCCUAGUAAAGGAACUGCACCGGGUGCCAAGUUGCCAACAAAUGAAGUUUAAGGUUUUGUUGUUGAGUUUAUAAAGCCCUAAACAACUUGGGGGACAGCUUUCCUGAGAGAACACCCAUCUCCCACAGAUCUCUGUUCACAGAGAUCACCAGGUGACAACAUCCCUUCGGUAACACUGCAGCCCUCUGAAAUCUU